AACGCGAAGAACCUUACCUACCCUUGACAUGUCUGGAAUUUACAUGAAAGUGUAAAGUGCUGAAAGGAACCAGAACACAGGUGCUGCAUGGCUGUCGUCAGCUCGUGUCGUGAGAUGUUGGGUUAAGUCCCGUAACGAGCGCAACCCCUAUAUUUAAUUGCUAUCAUUUAGUUGAGUACAUUAAAUAGACUGUCGGUGAUAAACCGGAGGAAGGUGGGGAUGACGUCAAGUCCUCAUGGCCCUUAUGGGUAGGGCUACACACGUGCUACAAUGGGCAGUACAGAGGGAAGCGAAGCCGCGAGGUGAAGCCAAUCUCACAAAGCUGUUCGUAGUCCGGAUUGGAGUCUGCAACUCGACUCCAUGAAGCUGGAAUCGCUAGUAAUCGCGGAUCAGAAUGCUGCGGUGAAUACGUUCCCGGGCCUUGUACACACCGCUCGUC
rnacentral:rRNA from 1 species